rnacentral:rRNA from 1 species
UACGAAGGGGGCAAGCGUUGCUCGGAAUCACUGGGCGUAAAGGGUGCGUAGGCGGGCUUUUAAGUCAGGGGGGAAAUCCUGGAGCUCAACUCCAGAACUGCCUUUGAUACUGAAGAUCUUGAGUUCGGGAGAGGUGAGUGGAACUGCGAGUGUAGAGGUGAAAUUCGUAGAUAUUCGCAAGAACACCAGUGGCGAAGGCGGCUCACUGGCCCGAUACUGACGCUGAGGCACGAAAGCGUGGGGAGCAAACAGG